UGAGGAAUAUUGGUCAAUGGACGAGAGUCUGAACCAGCCAAGUAGCGUGCAGGAUGACGGCCCUAUGGGUUGUAAACUGCUUUUGUUUGGGAAUAAUCGACAUUACGUGUAAUGUUUUGCAUGUACCAUUCGAAUAAGGAUCGGCUAAUUCCGUGCCAGCAGCCGCGGUAAUACGGAAGGUCCAGGCGUUAUCCGGAUUUAUUGGGUUUAAAGGGAGUGUAGGCGGUUGGUUAAGCGUGUUGUGAAAUGUAGAUGCUCAACAUCUGACUUGCAGCGCGAACUGGCUGACUUGAGUACACACAACGUAGGCGGAAUUCAUGGUGUAGCGGUGAAAUGCUUAGAUAUCAUGAAGAACUCCGAUUGCGAAGGCAGCUUACGGGAGUGUUACUGAAGCUUAAGCUCGAAGGUGCGGGUAUCGAACAGG
rnacentral:rRNA from 1 species